rnacentral:lncRNA from 1 species
GAGCUUGGGUUGCUCCAUUUGCAUCCAAGGAGUGUUACUUACGGGCUGAAAAUCUCUGUGGAGGAUGAGGAACUCCUUUGGAGAAUCAGAUACUGCUGGGAAAGGGAAAGAGAUGCUCACUUCAAAAAGCACCAGUGUCUUAGUUUUUGCUCCUGACUGUCUGCUCUGGCACGUGACCAACCUGGGAGCUGGUGAGCACUGCCUCUCAGAUCCCCAGCCAAAGGUCAGUAGCUGCAUGGUGGCCUCUGGAUUCCUUGGAUACCGACCCUUGUCAUGUGGGGAGGCAUUAACCUUUGGCCCUGACACUGUAGGUUCCUGCCUCUCGGCAAGGCCCUGGAUGAUGAGAUGUGACCUUCUCCUGCUAAAUCCCUGCUGUGAGGAAGCCAGGCCCAUGUCCUUCUGGUGAUGAGACUGAUUCCCAAUCUGGUUACUUCCAGGAAGAU